rnacentral:rRNA from 1 species
GAUGAACGCUGGCGGCGUGCCUAAUACAUGCAAGUCGAGCGGAAAGACGAGGUGCGUGCUCCUCUGGCGUUAGCGGCGGACGGGUGAGUAGCACGUGGAUAACCUACGUCUAAGGCUGGGAUAACUUCGAGAAACGGUAACUAAUACCGGAUAAUCUAUUUGACCGCAUGGUUCAGUAGUGAAAGACGGUUUUGCUGUUGCUUAGAGAUGGAUCCGCGCCUCAUUAGGUAGUUGGUAAGGUAACGGCUUACCAAGGAAUCGGUGCGUAGCCGAGCUGGGUGGGGGAUCGCGCCCUCUGGAACUGACCCACGGCCAAGAUACCUACGGGAGGCAGAGGCAGCGAAUUUUCACAACAGGGCGAAAGACUGCCCGAGGAAUGCCGCGCGAGUGCUGCAGGUCCUUGGAUCGUAAAACUCUCUUAUUAGUGAAAACCAAUUGCGUAAGUAACUAUGCACGUCUUGACGGUACCUAAUAAGAAAGCCCCGGCUAACUACGUG